rnacentral:lncRNA from 1 species
AAAUAUUUCAUAAGCAAAUAAUUUUACAACAAGUUGUGAAAAGAGGUUCCCUAGGAGUACCUAGGAUGCAUUGGGUGCCUAACACCUUCCCUUUGCAUAAUUACCCCCUUACCCAGAUCUCUGACCUUUCAUUAGUUUUCUUACAAGUUGUGAAAAGAGGUUCCCUAGGAGUACCUAGGAUGCAUUGGGUGCCUAACACCUUCCCUUUGCAUAAUUACCCCCUUACCCAGAUC